UACGAAGGGAGCUAGCGUUGCUCGGAAUUACUGGGCGUAAAGCGCACGUAGGCGGAUUGUUAAGUCGGGGGUGAAAUCCUGGAGCUCAACUCCAGAACUGCCUUCGAUACUGGCGAUCUCGAGUUCGGGAGAGGUGAGUGGAACUGCGAGUGUAGAGGUGAAAUUCGUAGAUAUUCGCAAGAACACCAGUGGCGAAGGCGGCUCACUGGCCCGAUACUGACGCUGAGGUGCGAAAGCGUGGGGAGCAAACAGG
rnacentral:rRNA from 1 species